UUCCAGAGUAUGACCUCCUCUUCAAUUCUCUGUUGCCUCCCUGCCCAUCUGAUCAGGAUCCAUCCUGGAAUGCUAUCCCAUUUAACAACAUAGAAAGUCAGGAACUGUGCCCAACUGCAUCUUCCAAAAUGUAUGAUCAGUUUAUAGAACUCUGUAGGGCACAAAAGCUGAGGAUCACUACAAGUCUUGGGCCAUCCCAGUGCACAUGCUUGGGGAGAAAUAGAUCCAGCAAAUCUGGCGAACUGCAGAAUGAGAAGAGAAACAAAAGGAUUCAGCUGCAGUGGGACUACCCAGAAUGGAACAGCUGAUCAUGAAUGCAGUAUCACAGCCAUUUCAUCCCAGAAGGAGUUUAAGCCACAGGGAGCAUGUAUGCCAGUAAUAUGAGACUUCGAGACUUUGCUGACAUUCAACAAUCAAUACCAUUCAGUAGCCAUCUCCAGUACUUCCUGGUUCUCCUUAUAGAGACUGAGCUUGAUGAAAUUAUGUUUUGUUACUGGCACCUUUCCCAGCAUUGCAUCUUUGUACCUAUAGCCAACAAGCUUCCUCUCCCCAUAAAGGAAGCAUGUAAAAACUUCCUUGGGCUGUCUGUUACGCUAUAUCUAUUAACACCUACAUGCUAUGUGGAAAUCUCUAUCACCAAUAGAGAAAUCUAGAGUAGUCCACAAAGACUCUAUGUGGGAUGUGGCAACUGUGAUUCCAAGAGACUGACCAAUAUUUGAACCUGUUUGGUUUUGUUUCCAGAUUAGGCUGCUUCUGGGUAUGCAGCCAUUUCCUUGUGCCAGCCCAGAUCAUUCAAAAUUGUUUGAUUGCAUGAGAUUUGUCAUUAAAAACAAAAGGAAGGAGCAAUAAAACAUUGUAUGGAACUGUAAAUAACCUGAGA
rnacentral:lncRNA from 1 species